rnacentral:rRNA from 1 species
UACGGGAGCAGCAGUGGGGAAUAUUGCACAAUGGGCGCAAGCCUGAUGCAGCCAUGCCGCGUGUAUGAAGAAGGCCUUCGGGUUGUAAAGUACUUUCAGUCGUGAGGAAGGUGUUAAGGUUAAUAACCUUAGCAAUUGACGUUAGCGACAGAAGAAGCACCGGCUAACUCCGUGCCAGCAGCCGCGGUAAUACGGAGGGUGCGAGCGUUAAUCGGAAUUACUGGGCGUAAAGGGCACGCAGGCGGUUAAUUAAGUUGGAUGUGAAAUCCCCGGGCUUAACCUGGGAAUGGCAUUCAAGACUGGUUAGCUAGAGUCUUGUAGAGGGGGUAGAAUUCCAUGUGUAGCGGUGAAAUGCGUAGAGAUGUGGAGGAAUACCGGUGGCGAAGGCGGCCCCUGGACAAAGACUGACGCUCAUGUGCGAAAGCGUGGGGAGCAAAACAGGGAUUAGAUACC